rnacentral:rRNA from 1 species
GUCAAAGCGUUCAUUAAAGUCGAGUUGGCUUAGGGAUACGUUCGUUGGGUAGGGGAGCGUUCUGUAAGCCUGUGAAGGUGUGUCGUGAGGCAUGCUGGAGGUAUCAGAAGUGCGAAUGCUGACAUAAGUAACGAUAAAGCGGGUGAAAAGCCCGCUCGCCGGAAGACCAAGGGUUCCUGUCCAACGUUAAUCGGGGCAGGGUGAGUCGACCCCUAAGGCGAGGCCGAAAGGCGUAGUCGAUGGGAAACGGGUUAAUAUUCCCGUACUUGGUGUUACUGCGAAGGGGGGACGGAGAAGGCUAUGUUGGCCGGGCGACGGUUGUCCCGGUUUAAGCGUGUAGGUGUGUGUUCCAGGUAAAUCCGGUUCACUUUAACACUGAGGCGUGACGACGAGGCACUACGGUGCUGAAGCAACAAAUGCCCUGCUUCCAGGAAAAGCCUCUAA